AUACGGAGGGGACUAGCGUUGUUCGGAAUUACUGGGCGUAAAGAGUUCGUAGGCGGACUGAUAAGUAAGAGGUGAAAUCCCAGGGCUCAACCCUGGAACUGCCUUUUAAACUGUCAGUCUAGAGACCGGAAGAGGUUAGGGGAAUACCUAGUGUAGAGGUGAAAUUCGUAGAUAUUAGGUGGAACACCAGUGGCGAAGGCGCCUAACUGGUCCGGUACUGACGCUGAGGAACGAAAGCGUGGGGAGCAAACAGGAUUAGAAACCCUUGUAGUCC
rnacentral:rRNA from 1 species